UUGAAUUCGAACUCCGCAAGU
ensembl:piRNA 21ur-290 ncRNA